GACAGAGGUCCCGAGCGUUAGGCGGAAUCACUGGGCUUAAAGCGUGUGUAGGCGGAUGCCUAAGUACCUUGUGAAAUCCCACGGCUUAACCGUGGAACUGCUUGGUAUACUGGGUGUCUUGAGCCACCUAGGGGCAAGCGGAACAAAUGGUGGAGCGGUGAAAUGCGUAGAUAUCAUUUGGAACGCCAAUGGUGAAAACAGCUUGCUGGGGGUGUGCUGACGCUGAGACACGAAAGCCAGGGGAGCAAACGGG
rnacentral:rRNA from 1 species